GGUCUGCUAUGGUGUUGAUGUGUUUGUGUGGUGUACCUUUUAAUUUUAAGGUCUGCUAUGGUGGUACACCACACAAACACAUCAACACCAUAGCAGACC
rnacentral:pre_miRNA from 1 species